rfam:Tupaia chinensis contig8683, whole genome shotgun sequence.
UGCCUCCUGGUGUUUACCACAGGCUGCGUUUGUACACUGACAGUAGAGGAAGAGAAGGCAGCGUAAAUCUACCACAUAUACACCUCAGCCAGGCCCAGUGACUAUUCUGUAUUGUGUAUGGGGAGGGAGGA